CUUGUCCAAAAUGUGAUUUUAGGGUGACAUCGGUAGUUUUUCUUAAAUAUCCACCUCUUGGAGCCCAGAUAUCACUUACGGUCCCAAAAUAAAGAGCCUUGGAUACUAGAAGAAAAGCAU
rnacentral:ncRNA from 1 species